rnacentral:rRNA from 1 species
GACGAACGCUGGCGGCGUGCCUAAUACAUGCAAGUCGAACGAACUCUGGUAUUGAUUGGUGCUUGCAUCAUGAUUUACAUUUGAGUGAGUGGCGAACUGGUGAGUAACACGUGGGAAACCUGCCCAGAAGCGGGGGAUAACACCUGGAAACAGAUGCUAAUACCGCAUAACAACUUGGACCGCAUGGUCCGAGUUUGAAAGAUGGCUUCGGCUAUCACUUUUGGAUGGUCCCGCGGCGUAUUAGCUAGAUGGUGGGGUAACGGCUCACCAUGGCAAUGAUACGUAGCCGACCUGAGAGGGUAAUCGGCCACAUUGGGACUGAGACACGGCCCAAACUCCUACGGGAGGCAGCAGUAGGGAAUCUUCCGCAAUGGACGAAAGUCUGAUGGAGCAACGCCGCGUGAGUGAAGAAGGGUUUCGGCUCGUAAAACUCUGUUGUUAAAGAAGAACAUAUCUGAGAGUAACUGUUCAGGUAUUGACGGUAUUUAACCAGAAAGCCACGGCUAACUACGUGCCAGCAGCCGCGGUAAUACGUAGGUGGCAAGCGUUGUCCGGAUUUAUUGGGCGUAAAGCGAGCGCAGGCGGUUUUUUAAGUCUGAUGUGAAAGCCUUCGGCUCAACCGAAGAAGUGCAUCGGAAACUGGGAAACUUGAGUGCAGAAGAGGACAGUGGAACUCCAUGUGUAGCGGUGAAAUGCGUAGAUAUAUGGAAGAACACCAGUGGCGAAGGCGGCUGUCUGGUCUGUAACUGACGCUGAGGCUCGAAAGUAUGGGUAGCAAACAGGAUUAGAUACCCUGGUAGUCCAUACCGUAAACGAUGAAUGCUAAGUGUUGGAGGGUUUCCGCCCUUCAGUGCUGCAGCUAACGCAUUAAGCAUUCCGCCUGGGGAGUACGGCCGCAAGGCUGAAACUCAAAGGAAUUGACGGGGGCCCGCACAAGCGGUGGAGCAUGUGGUUUAAUUCGAAGCUACGCGAAGAACCUUACCAGGUCUUGACAUACUAUGCAAAUCUAAGAGAUUAGACGUUCCCUUCGGGGACAUGGAUACAGGUGGUGCAUGGUUGUCGUCAGCUCGUGUCGUGAGAUGUUGGGUUAAGUCCCGCAACGAGCGCAACCCUUAUUAUCAGUUGCCAGCAUUAAGUUGGGCACUCUGGUGAGACUGCCGGUGACAAACCGGAGGAAGGUGGGGAUGACGUCAAAUCAUCAUGCCCCUUAUGACCUGGGCUACACACGUGCUACAAUGGAUGGUACAACGAGUUGCGAACUCGCGAGAGUAAGCUAAUCUCUUAAAGCCAUUCUCAGUUCGGAUUGUAGGCUGCAACUCGCCUACAUGAAGUCGGAAUCGCUAGUAAUCGCGGAUCAGCAUGCCGCGGUGAAUACGUUCCCGGGCCUUGUACACACCGCCCGUCACACCAUGAGAGUUUGUAACACCCAAAGUCGGUGGGGUAACCUUUUAGGAACCAGCCGCCUAAGGUGGGACAGAUGAUUAGGGUG